rnacentral:rRNA from 1 species
UGUAACGCCGGUGCAGAGACGGCGGUGAUACGGUGGGUCCAGGGGUUAGACGGAUAGACGGGGCGUAAAAUGUUGCGUAGGUGGCACGUUGGGUCGAUAGUGAAAGCGUGUGGCUCAACCAGUUACACAUUAUCGAAACUGCAGAGCUAGAGGACGAGAGAGGUAAUUGGAAUUCCCAGUGUAGGAGUGAAAUCCGUAGAUAUUGGGAGGAACACCGAUGGCGUAGGCAGAUUACUGGCUCGUUCCUGACACUAAGGCACGAAAGCGUGGGGAGCAAACGGGAUUAGAUACCCGUGUAGUC